rnacentral:rRNA from 1 species
GAUGAACGCUAGCGACAGGCUUAACACAUGCAAGUCGAGGGGCAGCAUAAAAGUAGCAAUACUUUGGUGGCGACCGGCGCACGGGUGAGUAACGCGUAUGCAACCUACCUAUCAGAGGGGAAUAACCCGGCGAAAGUCGGACUAAUACCGCAUAAAACAGGGGCACCGCAUGGUGAUAUUUGUUAAAGAAAUUCGCUGAUAGAUGGGCAUGCGUUCCAUUAGGUAGUUGGUGAGGUAACGGCUCACCAAGCCGACGAUGGAUAGGGGAACUGAGAGGUUGGUCCCCCACACUGGUACUGAGACACGGACCAGACUCCUACGGGAGGCAGCAGUGAGGAAUAUUGGUCAAUGGGCGGGAGCCUGAACCAGCCAAGUCGCGUGAAGGAAGAAGGAUCUAUGGUUCGUAAACUUCUUUUGCAGGGGAAUAAAGUGCAGGACGUGUCCUGUUUUGUAUGUACCCUGAGAAUAAGGAUCGGCUAACUCCGUGCCAGCAGCCGCCGUAACAC